GGGUUGUGAGGUUAAGCGACUAAGCGUACACGGUGGAUGCCCUGGCAGUCAGAGGCGAUGAAGGGCGUGCUAAUCUGCGAUAAGCGCCGGUAAGGUGAUAUGAACCGUUAUAACCGGCGAUACCCGAAUGGGGAAACCCAGUGUGAUUCGUCACACUAUCAUUAACUGAAUCCAUAGGUUAAUGAGGCGAACCGGGGGAACUGAAACAUCUAAGUACCCCGAGGAAAAGAAAUCAACCGAGAUUCCCCCAGUAGCGGCGAGCGAACGGGGAGGAGCCCAGAGCCUGAAUCAGCAUGUGUGUUAGUGGAAGCGUCUGGAAAGGCGCGCGAUACAGGGUGACAGCCCCGUACACAAAAGCGCAUGUGCUGUGAGCUCGAUGAGUAGGGCGGGACACGUGGUAUCCUGUCUGAAUAUGGGGGGACCAUCCUCCAAGGCUAAAUACUCCUGACUGACCGAUAGUGAACCAGUACCGUGAGGGAAAGGCGAAAAGAACCCCGGCGAGGGGAGUGAAAAAGAACCUGAAACCGUGUACGUACAAGCAGUGGGAGCACCCUUUGGGUGUGACUGCGUACCUUUUGUAUAAUGGGUCAGCGACUUAUAUUCUGUAGCAAGGUUAACCGAAUAGGGGAGCCGGAGGGAAACCGAGUCUUAACCGGGCGUUAAGUUGCAGGGUAUAGACCCGAAACCCGGUGAUCUAGCCAUGGGCAGGUUGAAGGUUGGGUAACACUAACUGGAGGACCGAACCGACUAAUGUUGAAAAAUUAGCGGAUGACCUGUGGCUGGGGGUGAAAGGCCAAUCAAACCGGGAGAUAGCUGGUUCUCCCCGAAAGCUAUUUAGGUAGCGCCUCGUGAAUUCAUCUCCGGGGGUAGAGCACUGUUUCGGCUAGGGGGCCAUCCCGGCUUACCAACCCGAUGCAAACUGCGAAUACCGGAGAAUGUUAUCACGGGAGACACACGGCGGGUGCUAACGUCCGUCGUGAAGAGGGAAACAACCCAGACCGCCAGCUAAGGUCCCAAAGUCAUGGUUAAGUGGGAAACGAUGUGGGAAGGCCCAGACAGCCAGGAUGUUGGCUUAGAAGCAGCCAUCAUUUAAAGAAAGCGUAAUAGCUCACUGGUCGAGUCGGCCUGCGCGGAAGAUGUAACGGGGCUAAACCAUGCACCGAAGCUGCGGCAGCGACACUGUGUGUUGUUGGGUAGGGGAGCGUUCUGUAAGCCUGUGAAGGUGUGUCGUGAGGCAUGCUGGAGGUAUCAGAAGUGCGAAUGCUGACAUAAGUAACGAUAAAGCGGGUGAAAAGCCCGCUCGCCGGAAGACCAAGGGUUCCUGUCCAACGUUAAUCGGGGCAGGGUGAGUCGACCCCUAAGGCGAGGCCGAAAGGCGUAGUCGAUGGGAAACGGGUUAAUAUUCCCGUACUUGGUGUUACUG
rnacentral:rRNA from 1 species